rnacentral:lncRNA from 1 species
AGCUGAAUUGCUCUGAUAUCUUUGUUUAUUUUUAGUUUCUUCUGGCUGAAUUUUAAAGAUUUGGAUUAAUGCCAGCUGGGGUUUCGUGGCUCAAGUAUUUAACUUUUAUGACUGCUUCAUUGGUUUCGAUGUUUGCUGGUUCCCAAGUUGUUCAUUCAAUUUACAAGCCUCUAGAUGAUUAUCCACAGUAUAUUGAACGUGAAAGGGAAAGAGUGAAAUCACUGAAUCCUGAAUCAUGAUUUUAAACAAAAAUCAUGAAUUUAAACAAUAGUUCUAUUUUGUUUAAAUUGAUAAAAUGCUUUAUCUAUCUCAGGUGCUAAUGUAAUAAAUAUGCAGGUUUGCUUGUUUUUGUAGAAAUAAAACUUAUUUAUGGAUUUAUAA